GUUGCAUCACACAGAUCUUCUAACAAAGUAUCUCCGGGUUGCAUAUUGCAUCACGUCCGCUUUGCUUUGUCACGGUGUUAUGCACAUGGAGGCCAAACAAGCUCGAACCUGGUAAUAAAUCAAGUGGAAGACGCGUUGAUAUCCAUACACGAGGUAGAAGACAAACACCCCAGCCACACAGAUGAAGAACUGCGUGGGGGUGCUGAAGCUGCUGAGGUUGAUUCCAAGAACCUUCAGUUCCUCUAAAGACUUUAUAUGAGGGGACAUCACCUCUGUGGAUGAUGGGAUGGAUAUGGAAAUGGGCUUCCGUGUAUUGUUGUACCCCACUAGGCCAUAUUUGGCACUCAUUGUAAUUGAGUGUGCUUUUGGCUAUAUGGAUAAAAAGACAAUGCAAGUCA